rnacentral:lncRNA from 1 species
UAAAGCCCUCUCUCAAAACUCUCUGUUUCCAAGCUUUGUUUUCCACCAAUUUGUUCUCCAUCCACUUCAGUUGUUUAUUCCCAGUUUGUUUUCACUGCGUCCAUCCUUUUCUGUAAUUUUUUCAUCUUCUCUUUUCCUAUUUGUGGAUAUCUUAAACAUCAACCCAAAACCCCAAAUCAAAAUCAGCAGAAAUUCUAAAAUAUUCCAAUUCAAAAUAAAAAACUCCUAUUUCGACUUCUUCACUCCGAUGCCGACUCCGACACCUGACUCCUAUUUCUGCAAUGGUUGGAAAAAGUAGGUUAAAAAGCAAAAGGAAUAUUGAUGAAGCACCAUUUUCAAAAGAAGAACAUGAUUUCUUCAACAUCUUAAGAACCCAAGGUAUUACUUAGUGACAAUAAGUUAUGUGAUGAUUUUUGUAUCUUGCUGUUUGGAAAUUUUGAUUUAGGUUGCCAUUUUCUGAUUUAUAUGAAAAUUUUACUUCAGUUUUCUGAUUUCUCUUUUAAGAAAGGUUUAGUUAUUUAUGUUAAUUUAAUAGUGAGGUUUUAAAACAAAAAAUAACUUUUCGUUUGCUGACCAAAAUUAUGAAAUAAACAAUUAAUCUAUUAUAACAUGGAGGUGUCUGCACAAGGAAGCAAUCGGACGAGCUCAAACUUAGCUAAGUUGGUGCUUUUAAAUUUCAAAAUAAAGUAUAGUAGGAUAGUUUUUCUUUUCUGCAUUGUAAAUCUGCUUUCUGGUGAUAAUGGAUAAAAUAUAGUUAUUAGAUUUCAAAAUGUUACAACAAAGGUUCACUACUGAGUUUAAUAUGAAUAUUAACUUCUAGUAAGGUUUAAAAUAAUUAAAGCAUUGAAUCGUAGACCAUAUCAAAUGCAUUUUGUGGAUUACAAUCUAUGUGAUAUUCAAAUAGAAGGGCUUCUAAUUUAUAUGACAUUGAUGCUUAAUGAAUUUAUAUUUUAAUUCUCUUUCGUGGAAUUUUCUUUCUUUUGAUUGACUGAAUUAAUUUUUGGGUCAAUGUGAAAGCUAUGGUAGCUAUGAAUCAAAUCACAGUUAUGGUAGCUGUGAAUGAAGCUUGGUCAACUUGUAAAAAAAUCACCUUAUCAUAUUAAAUUCUAUAAUUUGCGUUUGCGAUUAACAGUUGCAUCAUUUAAGGUAUAUGAAUUGUUUGGGAUAAUGUUUGACUUAUUGAGGAUUGAAGAAUUUUGGAAUGCAAGAUUUUACGUUUUUGUUAUUAGGUUUGACAUCCCUUCUUGCCGUGUUCAUGGCUACCGAUGUUUACUACUGCUGGAGCACAAUUGUUUGAAGAGGUAGCAGAUUGGUCUCCGUUAGUUGAUAGAACUUAAAUGAGGAGCAAAGAGCCUGUUGGCAAUGUGAUUAGGUUUGAACCUUAUAAUGUAAAUAAUUGAAAUUUAUGAAGUUCUUUUUGAUGAUUUUGCUAUUGUGAUUGGGAAUAUGUUUGAAAAUAACAUUGUUGAACUUGAGGAGAAUUUAAU